rnacentral:rRNA from 1 species
GACGAACCGUGCGAACGUUAUUCGGAAUCACUGGGCUUAAAGCGCGUGUAGGCGGGACGGCACGUCGGUCGCUGAAAUCCCCCGGCUUAACCGGGGAACGGGCGUCGAUACGACCGUCCUGGAGGGGCGUAGGGGGACCUGGAACUUCCGGUGGAGCGGUGAAAUGCAUUGAGAUCGGAAAGAACACCAACGGCGAAAGCACUCUGCUGGGCCGACACUGACACUGAGAGACGAAAGCUAGGGGAGCAAAUGGG